rnacentral:rRNA from 1 species
CCUACGGGAGGCUGCAGUGGGGAAUAUUGGACAAUGGGGGCAACCCUGAUCCAGCCAUGCCGCGUGUGUGAAGAAGGCCCUCGGGUUGUAAAGCACUUUCAGUGAGGAAGAACGCCUGGUGGUUAAUACCCAUCAGGAAAGACGUCACUCACAGAAGAAGCACCGGCUAACUCCGUGCCAGCAGCCGCGGUAAUACGGAGGGUGCGAGCGUUAAUCGGAAUUACUGGGCGUAAAGCGCGCGUAGGUGGCUUGAUAAGCCGGUUGUGAAAGCCCCGGGCUCAACCUGGGAACGGCAUCCGGAACUGUCAAGCUAGAGUGCAGGAGAGGAAGGUAGAAUUCCCGGUGUAGCGGUGAAAUGCGUAGAGAUCGGGAGGAAUACCAGUGGCGAAGGCGGCCUUCUGGACUGACACUGACACUGAGGUGCGAAAGCGUGGGUAGCAAACAGGAUUAGAUACCCCGGUAGUC